rnacentral:rRNA from 2 species
GCAUCUUUUUAUUUUUAAAAAGACCUUUUUCGGAAGGUAUGCUUAAAGAGGGGCUUGCGUCACAUUAGUUAGUUGGCAGGGUAAAGGCCUACCAAGACUAUGAUGUGUAGCUGGACUGAGAGGUUGAACAGCCACAUUGGGACUGAGACACGGCCCAAACUCCUACGGGAGGCAGCAGUAGGGAAUUUUCGGCAAUGGAGGAAACUCUGACCGAGCAACGCCGCGUGAACGAUGAAGUAUUUCGGUAUGUAAAGUUCUUUUAUUGAAGAAGAAAAAAUAGUGGAAAAACUAUCUUGACGAUAUUCAAUGAAUAAGCCCCGGCAAACUAUGUGCCAGCAGCCGCGGUAAUACAUAGGGGGCGAGCGUUAUCCGGAAUUAUUGGGCGUAAAGGGUGCGUAGGCGGUUUAAUAAGUCUAUAGUUUAAUUUCAGUGCUUAACACUGUCCUGCUAUAGAAACUAUUAGACUAGAGUGAGAUAGAGGCAAGUGGAAUUCCAUGUGUAGCGGUAAAAUGCGUAAAUAUAUGGAGGAACACCAGAGGCGUAGGCGGCUUGCUGGGUCUUUACUGACGCUGAGGCACGAAAGCGUGGGGAGCAAACAGGAUUAGAUACCCUGGUAGUCCACGCCGUAAACGAUGAGUACUAAGUGUCGGGAUUACUCGGUACUGAAGUUAACACAUUAAGUACUCCGCCUGAGUAGUACGUACGCAAGUAUGAAACUUAAAGGAAUUGACGGGACUCCGCACAAGCGGUGGAUCAUGUUGUUUAAUUCGAAGAUACACGAAAAACCUUACCAGGUCUUGACAUACUCUGCAAAGCUAUAGCAAUAUAGUGGAGGUUAUCAGGGAUACAGGUGGUGCAUGGUUGUCGUCAGCUCGUGUCGUGAGAUGUUAGGUUAAGUCCUAAAACGAGCGCAACCCUUGUCAUUAGUUGCCAGCAUGUCAUGAUGGGCACUUUAAUGAGACUGCCAAUGAAAAAUUGGAGGAAGGUGAGGAUCACGUCAAAUCAUCAUGCCCCUUAUGAUCUGGGCUACAAACGUGAUACAAUGGCUGUUACAAAGAGUAGCUGAAACGCAAGUUUAUAGCCAAUCUCAUAAAAGCAGUCUCAGUUCGGAUUGAAGUCUGCAACUCGACUUCAUGAAGUUGGAAUCGCUAGUAAUCGCGAAUCAGCAUGUCGCCGAAAUUUAAGGGUAAGGG